UGGGGAAUAUUGGACAAUGGGGGGAACCCUGAUCCAGCCAUGCCGCGUGUGUGAAGAAGGCCUUAUGGUUGUAAAGCACUUUAAGCGAGGAGGAGGGUACUGGAAUUAAUACUACCAGGUACUGGACGUUACUCGCAGAAUAAGCACCGGCUAACCCUGUGCCAGCAGCCGCGGUAAUACAGAGGGUGCGAGCGUUAAUCGGAUUUACUGGGCGUAAAGCGUGCGUAGGCGGCUAAUUGAGUCGGAUGUGAAAUCCCCGAGCUUAACUUGGGAAUUGCAUUCGAUACUGGUUAGCUAGAGUGUGGGAGAGGAUGGUAGAAUUCCAGGUGUAGCGGUGAAAUGCGUAGAGAUCUGGAGGAAUACCGAUGGCGAAGGCAGCCAUCUGGCCUAACACUGACGCUGAGGUACGAAAGCAUGGGGAGCAAACAGG
rnacentral:rRNA from 1 species